rnacentral:rRNA from 1 species
UACGGGGGGGGUAAGCGUUGUUCGGAGUUACUGGGCGUAAAGGGCUCGUGGGCGGCCAACUAAGUCAGACGUGAAAUCCCUCGGCUUAACCGGGGAACUGCGUCCGAUACUGGAUGGCUUGAGUUUGGGAGAGGGAUGCGGAAUUCCAGGUGUAGCGGUGAAAUGCGUAGAUAUCUGGAGGAACACCGGUGGCGAAGGCGGCAUCCUGGACCAAUUACUGACGCUGAGUGAGCGAAAGCCAGGGGAGCAAACGGG